rnacentral:rRNA from 1 species
GAUGAACGCUGGCGGCGUGCCUAAUACAUGCAAGUCGAGCGAACGGACGAGAAGCUUGCUUCUCUGAUGUUAGCGGCGGACGGGUGAGUAACACGUGGAUAACCUACCUAUAAGACUGUGAUAACUUCGGGAAACCGGAGCUAAUACCGGAUAAUAUUUUGAACCGCAUGGUUCAAAAGUGAAAGACGGUCUUGCUGUCACUUAUAGAUGGAUCCGCGCUGCAUUAGCUAGUUGGCAAGGUAACGGCUUACCAAGGCAACGAUGCAUAGCCGACCUGAGAGGGUGAUCGGCCACACUGGAACUGAGACACGGUCCAGACUCCUACGGGAGGCAGCAGUGGGGAAUCUUCCGUAAUGGGCGAAAGCCUGACGGAGCAACGCCGCGUGAGUGAUGAAGGUCUUCGGAUCGUAAAACUCUGUUAUUAGGGAAGAACAUAUGUGUAAGUAACUGUGCACAUCUUGACGGUACCUAAUCAGAAAGCCACGGCUAACUACGUG